rnacentral:rRNA from 1 species
AAAUAGGUGCCCGUACCGCAAACCGACACAGGUAGUCAAGAUGAGAAUUCUAAGGUGAGCGAGCGAACUCUCGUUAAGGAACUCGGCAAAAUGACCCCGUAACUUCGGGAGAAGGGGUGCUCUUUAGGGUUAACGCCCAGAAGAGCCGCAGUGAAUAGGCCCAAGCGACUGUUUAUCAAAAACACAGGUCUCUGCUAAACCGUAAGGUGAUGUAUAGGGGCUGACGCCUGCCCGGUGCUGGAAGGUUAAGAGGAGUGGUUAGCUUCUGCGAAGCUACGAAUCGAAGCCCCAGUAAACGGCGGCCGUAACUAUAACGGUCCUAAGGUAGCGAAAUUCCUUGUCGGGUAAGUUCCGACCCGCACGAAAGGCGUAACGAUUUGGGCACUGUCUCAACGAGAGACUCGGUGAAAUCAUAGUACCUGUGAAGAUGCAGGUUACCCGCGACAGGACGGAAAGACCCCGUGGAGCUUUACUGUAGCCUGAUAUUGAAAUUCGGCACAGCUUGUACAGGAUAGGUAGGAGCCUUUGAAACGUGAGCGCUAGCUUACGUGGAGGCGCUGGUGGGAUACUACCCUAGCUGUGUUGGCUUUCUAACCCGCACCACUUAUCGUGGUGGGAGACAGUGUCAGGCGGGCAGUUUGACUGGGGCGGUCGCCUCCUAAAAGGUAACGGAGGCGCUCAAAGGUUCCCUCAGAAUGGUUGGAAAUCAUUCAUAGAGUGUAAAGGCAUAAGGGAGCUUGACUGCGAGACCUACAAGUCGAGCAGGGUCGAAAGACGGACUUAGUGAUCCGGUGGUUCCGCAUGGAAGGGCCAUCGCUCAACGGAUAAAAGCUACCCCGGGGAUAACAGGCUUAUCUCCCCCAAGAGUUCACAUCGACGGGGAGGUUUGGCACCUCGAUGUCGGCUCAUCGCAUCCUGGGGCUGUAGUCGGUCCCAAGGGUUGGGCUGUUCGCCCAUUAAAGCGGUACGCGAGCUGGGUUCAGAACGUCGUGAGACAGUUCGGUCCCUAUCCGUCGUGGGCGUAGGAAAUUUGAGAGGAGCUGUCCUUAGUACGAGAGGACCGGGAUGGACAUACCUCUGGUGUACCAGUUGUCGUGCCAACGGCAUAGCUGGGUAGCUAUGUGUGGACGGGAUAAGUGCUGAAAGCAUCUAAGCAUGAAGCCCCCCUCAAGAUGAGAUUUCCCAACUUCGGUUAUAAGAUCCCUCAAAGAUGAUGAGGUUAAUAGGUUCGAGGUGGAAGCAUGGUGACAUGUGGAGCUGACGAAUACUAAUCGAUCGAAGACUUAAUC